GGAAUAACGCAUCGAAAGGUGUGCUAAUACCGCAUACGCUCUGAGGAGGAAAGCUGGGGAUCGAAAGACCUGGCGUUAUUCGAGCGGCCGACGUCUGAUUAGCUAGUUGGUGAGGUAAAGGCUCACCAAGGCGACGAUCAGUAGCGGGUCUGAGAGGAUGAUCCGCCACACUGGGACUGAGACACGGCCCAGACUCCUAUGGGAGGCAGCAGUGGGGAAUUUUGGACAAUGGGGGCAACCCUGAUCCAGCCAUGCCGCGUGUCUGAAGAAGGCCUUCGGGUUGUAAAGGACUUUUGUUAGGGAGCAAGUCCUGCAGGUUAAGAGCUAGUAGGGAUGAGAGUACCUAAAGAAUAAGCACCGGCUAACUACGUGCCAGCAGCCGCGGUAAUACGUAGGGUGCAAGCGUUAAUCGGAAUUACUGGGCGUAAAGGGUGCGCAGGCGGUAUUGUAAGCCAGAUGUGAAAUCCCCGGGCUCAACCUGGGAACUGCGUUUGGAACUGCAAUGCUAGAGUGUGUCAGAGGGGGGUGGAAUUCCACGUGUAGCAGUGAAAUGCGUAGAGAUGUGGAGGAACACCGAUGGCGAAGGCAGCCCCCUGGGAUAACACUGACGCUCAGGCACGAAAGCGUGGGGAGCAAACAGGAUUAGAUACCCUGGUAGUCCACGCCCUAAACGAUGACAACUAGCCGUUGGGAACUUCGGUUCUUGGUGGCGUAGCUAACGCGAGAAGUUGUCCGCCUGGGGAGUACGGUCGCAAGAUUAAAACUCAAAGAAUUGACGGGGGCCCGCACAAGCGGUGGAUGAUGUGGAUUAAUUCGAUGCAACGCGAAAAACCUUACCUGGUCUUGACAUGCUAGGAAUCUCUGAGAGAUCGGAGAGUGCCCGAAAGGGAACCUAGACACAGGUGCUGCAUGGCUGUCGUCAGCUCGUGUCGUGAGAUGUUGGGUUAAGUCCCGCAACGAGCGCAACCCUUGCCAUUAGUUGCCAUCAUUAAGUUGGGCACUUUAAUGGGACUGCCGGUGACAAACCGGAGGAAGGUGGGGAUGACGUCAAGUCCUCAUGGCCCUUAUGACCAGGGCUUCACACGUCAUACAAUGGUCGGUACAGAGGGUCGCAAAGCCGCGAGGUGGAGCUAAUCUCAUAAAAUCGAUCGUAGUCCGGAUCGGAG
rnacentral:rRNA from 1 species